UGAGGAAUCUUGGACAAUGGGGGCAACCCUGAUCCAGCCAUGCCGCGUGAGUGAUGAAGGCCUUCGGGUUGUAAAGCUCUUUUAGAUGUGAAGAUAAUGACGGUAGCAUCAGAAAAAGCUCCGGCUAACUCCGUGCCAGCAGCCGCGGUAAUACGGAGGGAGCGAGCGUUGUUCGGAAUUACUGGGCGUAAAGCGUAUGUAGGCGGUUUUGUAAGUCAGGUGUGAAAUCCCAGGGCUCAACCUUGGAACUGCAUUUGAGACUGCAAGACUUGAGUAUCGGAGAGGUUGGCGGAAUUCCUAGUGUAGAGGUGAAAUUCGCAGAUAUUAGGAGGAACACCGAUGGCGUAAGCAGCCAACUGGACGAUUACUGACGCUGAGAUACGAAAGCGUGGGGAGCAAA
rnacentral:rRNA from 1 species